AAACUGGGAUUAGAUACCCCACUAUGCUUAGCCUUAAGCCUUCAAUUACACCCCAAACGCCAGGGAACUACGAGCAAAGCUUAAAACCCAAGGGACUUGACGGUACCCCACAUCCCCCUAGAGGAGCCUGUCCUAUAAUCGAUAACCCCCGUUCAACCUCACCAUCUUUAGCCUAUCAGUCUGUAUACCUCCGUCGUCAGUUUACCGCAUGAGUGCCCUAAAGUAAACCAAAUGUCCUCACCCGUCAACACGUCAGGUCAAGGUGCAGCUAACAAGAUGGGAAGAGAUGGGCUACACUCUCUAAUAUAGAGCACACAGAGAAUUUAUAUGAAACCCAGUUCAAAGGUGGAUUUAGCAGUAACAGGGGUAAUAGCACCCCUUUUAAGCAGGCCCUGGGGUGUGUACACACCGCCCGUCACCCUCCUCGCAGCUCUCGCAAAAGUAUUUUACAAAUCCCAGCAUCGUAGAGGAGGUAAGUCGUAACAUGGUAAGUGCACCGGAAGGUGCGCUUGGAAA
rnacentral:rRNA from 1 species